GGUGUUAUGGCUCAGUGGUAGAGCGCUCACCUGGCAUGUGUGAGGCCCUAGGUUUGAUCCUCAGCACCA
rnacentral:tRNA from 1 species